rnacentral:rRNA from 1 species
AUUGAACGCUGGCGGCAGGCCUAACACAUGCAAGUCGAACGAGUGGCGGACGGGUGAGUAACACGUGGGAACCUACCCAUCAGAGGGGGAUAACACUUGGAAACAGGUGCUAAUACCGCAUACCAUCGGAUGUGCCCAGAUGGGAUUGGCUAGUAGGUGGGGUAAAGGCUCCCCUAGGCGACGAUCCCUAGCUGGUCUGAGAGGAUGACCAGCCACACUGGAACUGAGACACGGUCCAGACUCCUACGGGAGGCAGCAGUGGGGAAUAUUGCACAAUGGGCGCAAGCCUGAUGCAGCCAUGCCGCGUGUAUGAAGAAGGCCUUCGGGUUGUAAAGUACUUUCAGCGGGGAGGCGUUACCCGCAGAAGAAGCACCGGCUAACUCCGUGCCAGCAGCCGCGGUAAUAC